rnacentral:rRNA from 1 species
AAAAACUCCGGUGGUAUACGAUGGAUCCGCGUCUGAUUAGCUGGUUGGCGGGGUAAAGGCCCACCAGGGCGACGAUCAGUAGCCGGCCUGAGAGGGUGAACGGCCACAUUGGGACUGAGACACGGCCCAAACUCCUACGGGAGGCAGCAGUGGGGAAUAUUGCACAAUGGGGGAAACCCUGAUGCAGCGACGCCGCGUGAGUGAAGAAGUAUUUCGGCAUGUAAAGCUCUAUCAGCAGGGAAGAAAAUGACGGUACCUGACUAAGAAGCCCCGGCUAACUACGUGCCAGCAGCCGCGGUAAUACGUAGGGGGCAAGCGUUAUCCGGAUUUACUGGGUGUAAAGGGAGCGUAGACGGCAGCGCAAGUCUGGAGUGAAAUCCCAUGGCUUAACCAUGGAACUGCUUUGGAAACUGUGCAGCUAGAGUGCAGGAGAGGUAAGCGGAAUUCCUAGUGUAGCGGUGAAAUGCGUAGAUAUUAGGAGGAACACCAGUGGCGAAGGCGGCUUACUGGACUGUAACUGACGUUGAGGCUCGAAAGCGUGGGGAGCAAACAGGAUUAGAUACCCUGGUAGUCCACGCUGUAA